GACAGAGGUGGCAAGCGUUGUUCGGAUUCAUUGGGUGUAAAGGGCAGGUAGGUGGUUAUGCAAGUCCGGCGUGAAAUCCCACGGCUCAACCGUGGAACGGCGCUGGAAACUGCAUGACUUGAGUACUGGAGAGGUGAGGGGAAUUCUCGGUGUAAGGGUGAAAUCUGUAGAUAUCGAGAGGAACACCAGUGGCGAAGGCGCCUCACUGGCCGGUUACUGACACUGAACUGCGAAAGCAAGGGGAGCAAACAGG
rnacentral:rRNA from 1 species